rnacentral:rRNA from 1 species
UGGAUUUGAUCUUGGUCCAGAGAGAGUGCUGGCGACGGGCCUAACACAUGCAAGUUAGACCGCCUUAAUUGAGCUGUAGCGUACUGGUGAGUAGCACGUAAAAAAUCUACCGAUAGAAAGAGGUGGAGAUACCUCAAACACUCAUUGGACCUAUGAGUCCACAAAAGAGUGUUGAAGAGCAGUGACUCGUUUAUCGAUGAGUUUACGCAAGAUUAGGUAGUUGGUAAUUGUAACAGCUUACCAAGCCUUUGAUCUUUAGUUGGUCUUAGAGGACGAUCAACCACACUGGAACUGAAAUAAGGUCCAGGCUAAUUUUUUGGCCAGCAGUGAGGAAUAUUGGACAAUGAACGAAAGUUUGAUCCAGCGAUAUUAUCUGAAUGAAGACGGCUUUUUUUAGUUGUAAAAUUCUUUCGUUAAGAAAUGAUAAUGACAUUAUUUAAAGAAGUUUAAGUCCCGGCCAAUACUCGUGCCAGCAGCCGCGGUAAUACGGGGGGGGCGAGCGUUAUCCAUCAUGACUGGGCGUAAAGGGUCUGUAGACGGUGAAGUAAGUUACUUGUUAAAUUUUAAAGCCUAACUUUAAGUCAGCUUGUAAUACUGCUUUACUUGAGUUUUAUACAGAAGAGUAGAAUUUUAUACGUAAGGGUAAAAUCUUGAAAUAUAUAAAGGAACACCAGUAGCGAAGGCGACUCUUUGGUAAAAACUGACGUUGAGAGACGAAAGUGUGGGUAGCAAACAGGAUUAGAUACCCUGGUAGUCCACACUGUAAAUUCUGAGUGCUGAAAUUUAAUGUAAACUAACUAAAAGUGAAUGGUUUUGAAUCAUUUUAUUUAAUGUUAGGUUAUUUAGAUUUUGAAGCUAACGCCAUAAGCACUCCGCCUGAGGAGUACGAUCGCAAGGUUGGAACUCAAAGGAAUUGACGGGGGCUAAUACUAGUGGUGGAGCAUGUGGUUUAAUGCGAUAAUCCGCGCAGAACCUUACCAAUUCUUGACAUAAAAGUAAAGUUUAAUUUUACGCUUUGUAAUAUAAUUAUAAUUAUGACUUUUACAGGUGUUGCACGACUGUCGUAAGCUCGUGUCGUGAGAUGUUUGGUUAAUUCCUUUAACGGGCGAAACUCUUAUCUUUA